rnacentral:rRNA from 1 species
UUCCGGUUGAUCCUGCCGGAGGCUACUGCUAUCGGGGUUCGAUUAAGCCAUGCGAGUUAAAUGUUCUUCGUGAACAUAGCGAACUGCUCAGUAACACGUGGAUAACCUACCCUUAGGACCGGAAUAACCCCGGGAAACUGGGGAUAAUACCGGAUAAGCCAUAGACGCUGGAAUGCCCUAUGGUUCAAAGCUCCGGCGCCUAAGGAUGGAUCUGCGGUCUAUCAGGUUGUAGUGGGUGUAACGUACCUACUAGCCGACGACGGAUACGGGUUGUGAGAGCAAGAGCCCGGAGAUGGAUUCUGAGACACGAAUCCAGGCCCUACGGGGUGCAGCAGGCGCGAACACUUUACAAUGCGGGAAACCGCGAUAAGGGAACCCCGAGUGCCAGCAUCAAAUGUUGGCUGUCCAGAUGAUUAAAAAUCAUUUGUUAGCAAGGGCCGGGCAAGACCGGUGCCAGCCGCCGCGGUAACACCGGCGGCCCGAGUGGUAGCCGUUUUUAUUGGGUCUAAAGGGUCCGUAGCCGGCUUGAUAAGUCUUUUGGGAAAUCUGGCAGCUUAACUGUCAGGCUUCUAAGGGAUACUGUCAGGCUUGGGACCGGAAGAGGUAAGGGGUACUCCAGGGGUAGGAGUGAAAUCUUGUAAUCCCUGGGGGACCAUCUGUGGCGAAGGCGCCUUACCAGAACGGGUCCGACGGUGAGGGACGAAAGCUAGAGGAGCAAACCGGAUUAGAUACCCGGGUAGUCCUAGCUGUAAACGAUGCUCGCUAGGUGUCAGACACGGUGCGACCGUGCUUGGUGC